AGAACGAACGCUGGCGGCGUGGAUAAGACAUGCAAGUCGAACGGGACUUUCCCGAGUAGCAAUACCUGGGAAAGUUUAGUGGCGAACGGGUGCGUAACACGUGGGGAAUCUGCCGAGAAGUGGGGGAUAGCUCGUCGAAAGGCGAAUUAAUACCGCAUAUGAUCAGGGAAGACAUCUUUCCAACAUCAAAGCCGGGGCAACCUGGCGCUUCUUGAUGACCCCCGCGGCCUAUCAGCUAGUUGGUGAGGUAACGGCCCACCAAGGCUAUGACGGGUAGCUGGUCUGAGAGGACGACCAGUCACACUGGAACUGAGACACGGCCCAGACUCCUACGGGAGGCAGCAGUGGGGAAUAUUGGACAAUGGGCGCAAGCCUGAUCCAGCCAUGCCGCGUGGAUGAUGAAGGCCUUAGGGUUGUAAAGUCCUUUUAACGGGAGAUAAUGACGGUACCCGUAGAAUAAGCCCGGCUAACUUCGUGCCAGCAGCCGC
rnacentral:rRNA from 1 species